UCGCAGCUUCCACAGCCGAGCAGAGACUGGCAAGGGUCAGCAGCCGUGGUGACAAUAACGGUGCAGUCCACAAAUCCGGCUUCGUCGUGUAAGUUGCUGAAUCCAAAACACGUUCCUGCAACGGGGCUGAAGUGAGAAAGGAGAUGCGCGCGCGGGGCAGGGAACAGGCUCCAUGUCACUCGGUGGGCGAGAGGCAGCCAGGCCUGGGUGGCCGUCAGGCGCCAGGGCCUGUGCUUCCAACCCGCGCCGUGCUGCCUCUGAAUCCCCGGUGGAGGAUCAACCGGGACAACUCGUCCCCGGGAGAUCAUCACCGAGUCCCGCAGAGGCCGGGAUCCCCACACGCUGGCCGCGGAGGGGACACACCUGAGGGCUUGGCCGCGGCGCUGGGCCGCCGCACGGUGGUGGGCUUGGCCCGGUUCAUCACGCUGCCCUCGCGCCUCUGAACUGGAAGUCGGUGGGUCGCUCGUCGUCGCCCCUCACGCCGCGGGCGCCGCCGGCCCGCACAAGCGCCCACAGCCGCGACUCGUUGCUUACCGCCCACCGCUCGGGCCCCCCGCCGCCACUGCCGCCCCGGAACCAAAAACCAAUGUUGGCGAGCUGGGCCCGCCAACUUCCGGGAAAACCGGAAACAAAAUAGCUCGGCGAAAUGAAGGGAAGGAGAGGAAAACAGGGCCCGCGGCGUGUGCGCAAAAUCUGUAGCGCCCUCUGGCGGCGGAGCCGGCAGACGCCGCGGAGCGCGUUCUGCCUCCCCUGUGGGCUGACGCUGUUUUCCAAAGAAGCUGAUACGUUAAGUGAUACGCUCUGGAAUACAGCUAAGAAGGGUGGCAGCAGGAGUCAGAUCACCGCUUUCCCACUGAUUGUCAAAUGACUCUGAAGUCGGGGUGCUGAGCCCAUCGGGCAGCCUGGUUUGGACACCUGAUUGGGCAACAACUGGCUUUCUCUGCAACCAACUGACCACCAGGUCUCCGUCUGGGGUUGGUUCCAGGACCUGAGGACACCAAAAUCUGAGACGCUCUUGUGUCGCCUUAUGCAGAAUGACAUGGGGGCCAUCCUGCCGUGACAUCCUCAGGCUGAAGAGAGGCCAGUGAAAGAAGAGCUGAAUUUCCAGGCAAUGGACCUGAAGCUCAAGUCAGCUGUGGCCCUCGAGUGCAUUGUCCACACCCGAGGCUCUUUGCCACGGCCUCCCGCACUCCUGGGUUUGACUGGCUGAGCUGGGCUGGUCUUUUCUUUUGCGGGUGCCAGGGAUUGAACUCAGGGGCACUUGACCACUGAGCCACAUCCCCAGCCCUAUUUUGUAUUUUAUUUCAAGUCAGGGUCUCACUGAGUUGCUUAGUGAGCCUCGCUUGUGCUGAGGCUGGCUUUGAACUCGCCAUCCUCCUGCCUCAACCUCCCAAGCCGCUGGGAUUAUUGGGCUGUUCUUAUUGGUGGGCCUGUUGUGCAGCCGCAGACCGAGGCGGCAGGGCUGGUGGCCUUUCACAGGCUUCCUGCAGGCUGGGCUGCGCGAGGCUCACACUGGGUCCACCAGGAGUAGAAGGCCUGAGAAACAGAGAGCCAGAUGCCCCCUGCUGCUGUGCAAUACAAUGUCCCAGGUGGUAGUCGCGUCUCUGUAUUCAUCUGAGUCUGUGCUCCUCGGGUGGCUGGAGGGCCCCUAGGGAGCUCCAGGGUGGUCGCCUGAGGACCCCACAGCAUGGGGAGGGAGUCGGAGCUUGGAGACCCACCCCACCCACCACCUGACCACCUCGGGCAGCAGAGGGGCUGGAGACAGCUCAAUCAUCAGUGGCCUCCAUUGGGCCUGAGGAAGAGACCUCAGCACAGACUCAGCAGGUGGGGACCAGGGUGUGUCUGGGCUGGAGCCCACAGUGCGCUGGGAGGGUGGAGCUCCCAGAGCCCGGGAGCCCUCCGCCCCUUGCCCUGCCUCCCAGCACCUCCAUCCACCGCUGU